GUAAAUGUUUCAGUUUAUCACUUAAUUGUAAUAUCAGGUGCAAAUGUACAAAUUGUGAAAAUGUCAAUGUCAUAGCCAAUGAUAACUGUUUGGAAGAAUUACAUGUAAAUAGUGAUGUGGAGUUAGUAACCGAUAAUUCUGAUGAUGAGAGGAGUGAUAAUGAUGUAGAAGUUCAAAUGUAUGUCGACAAUUGCCUUUAUGAAGAGCAUGCUCCACAAGACAUUUAGAUGCAUGAUUUAGAUGUAGGUGUAUGAGUAAAAGAGAGAGAUAUUAUGUAUAUAUGUACAUAUGUACAUAUGAUCAUAUUUCAUGCAGUAUGCACACAGUCAACAUCCCACACACACAUCAUGCAAGGGGAAACCUUAAACCAUGUUACCAUGUUGCCUGGUCAACUCCCACCCUGUACUCAAACAAGGACUAGAGACAUCCGAGCCUCAUUUCAACUUUGAUUUCGAUAGUCUAAUAACAGAGUACUGUGAGCUAUUAAGAUCAAUUGUACCAUACGAAAGUGAAGUAUAUUAUAGAGAGAGAGACAUUAGCUAUUUAUGAGAUGUUUGGGGAAGCAGAGCAGUUCCUUUAUCAAGCAAGAGUUGUUUUUUAUUAUCAAUUUUAUUUUGAUUUUUGUAUGCCAAGAUACUACAUGUAGGCCUUCAAGAAAGACCAGUUCACCCCAGAUGAUCAUAUUUCAUGCAGUAUGCACACAGACAACAUCCCACACACACGUCAUGCAAGGGGAAACAAAAUGAAUGGGGAGGCAUGGGUGUGCCUAUUCACCUGCUGUGUAACUUGAACAGUUCAUUAGUGACUAUUAUUAUUAAGUGUCAGAAGAACCUCAUAUCAAAAAGAGGACAUUCUUAUCUGAGAAAUUGGAUUUAAAGUCCUUAUCUAGUAUCCUGGAACAGCCCAAGGUUUGACACUGUGUGUCUGGGGCUAAACCAUGGGAAGACUCUGGAUCAAGUUCUGUGCAAGAUAGCUCCAUGGCAGCAUUAAGGAAGCUUCACCUGGUCAACUCCAACCCUCUAGAUGUUCCUAGGUGUUCAUCCAGAUCAAGAUGUCUUGCAUCUAUCGAAUCUCAAGAUCAGAUCAUUGUAAGACUAAUGGAAUGAUAUUGUGAGCUGAUUGACUAAUUGAGAUUCUUGUUGUUAUUAUUAUCAUGGUGUUUCUUUUAAUUUCUUUGUUUGUGUAUUACCUGCUAGCUGUGAAAAAGAGAAUAUUGAUUUGUACACUUUUUGUUUAUUGUAGUUUAUUUUAAACUUGGACUCCCAAUCCUUAUCUAUGAUCAGUCAUGCUUUUAUAAUAAUUGACAAAAUAC